UACGUAGGUGGCAAGCGUUGUCCGGAUUUACUGGGUGUAAAGGGCGUGUAGGCGGGUAAACAGGUCAGAUGUGAAAUACCGCAGCUCAACUGCGGGGCUGCAUUUGAAACCUUUUAUCUUGAGUGUCGGAGAGGAAAGCGGAAUUCCUAGUGUAGCGGUGAAAUGCGUAGAUAUUAGGAGGAACACCAGUGGCGAAGGCGGCUUUCUGGACGAUAACUGACGCUGAGGCGCGAAAGCGUGGGGAGCAAACAGG
rnacentral:rRNA from 1 species